GGCUGGUCUGAUUGCAGUGGUGUUUACAACUAAUGGAUCAGAAUCAGUUACAGAUUUCUUGUUCCCUCUCCACUCCCACUUAUUCACUUGAGUAACCAAAA
rnacentral:Y_RNA from 1 species